UACAGAGGGUGCGAGCGUUAAUCGGAAUUACUGGGCGUAAAGCGCGCGUAGACGGUUUUGUAAGUCUGAUGUGAAAUCUAUGGGCUCAACCCAUAGUCUGCAUUAGAAACUGUCGGGCUUGAGUAUGGGAGAGGUGAGUGGAAUUUCCGGUGUAGCGGUGAAAUGCGUAGAUAUCGGAAGGAACACCUGUGGCGAAAGCGGCUCACUGGACCAUAACUGACGCUGAUGCACGAAAGCUAGGGGAGCAAACAG
rnacentral:rRNA from 1 species